rnacentral:rRNA from 1 species
CAGCCGCCGCGGUAAUACGUAGGGUACGAGCGUUAAUCGGAAUUACUGGGCGCAAAGCGUGCGCAGGCGGUUCGUUAAGACAGAUGUGAAAUCCCCGGGCUUAACCUGGGAACUGCAUUUGUGACUGGCGAGCUAGAGUAUGGCAGAGGGGGGUAGAAUUCCACGUGUAGCAGUGAAAUGCGUAGAGAUGUGGAGGAAUACCGAUGGCGAAGGCAGCCCCCUGGGCCAAUACUGACGCUCAUGCGCGAAAGCGUGGGGAGCAAACAGGAUUAGAUACCCCGGUAGUCCCUGUCUCUUAUAA